rfam:Felis catus isolate Cinnamon breed Abyssinian chromosome B3, whole genome shotgun sequence.
GUCUAUAGCCACACCAUCCUGAACGUGCCAGAUCUCAUCAGAUCUCAGAAGUUAAGCAGGGUCAGGCCUGGUUAGUAUUUGGAUGGGAGAAAUAUAGAAAGCUAAAAUGA